AUUGAACGCUGGCGGCAUGCCUUACACAUGCAAGUCGAACGGCAGCACGGGGGCAACCCUGGUGGCGAGUGGCGAACGGGUGAGUAAUGCAUCGGAACGUGCCCAGUAGUGGGGGACAACCAGUCGAAAGAUUGGCUAAUACCGCAUACGACCUAUGGGUGAAAGCGGGGGACCGUAAGGCCUCGCGCUAUUGGAGCGGCCGAUGUCUGAUUAGCUAGUUGGUGAGGUAAAAGCUCACCAAGGCGACGAUCAGUAGCUGGUCUGAGAGGACGACCAGCCACACUGGGACUGAGACACGGCCCAGACUCCGACGGGAGGCAGCAGUGGGGAAUUUUGGACAAUGGGCGCAAGCCUGAUUCAGCCAUGCCGCGUGCGGGAAGAAGGCCUUCGGGUUGUAAACCGCUUUUGGCAGGAACGAGACGGCGACCUCUAAUACGGGUCGUUAAUGACGGUACCGUAAGAAUAAGCACCGGCUAACUACGUGCCAGCAGCCGCAGUAACAC
rnacentral:rRNA from 1 species